UACAGAGGUCCCAAGCGUUGUUCGGAUUCAUUGGGCGUAAAGGGUGCGUAGGCGGCGCGGUAAGUCGGGGUGUGAAAUCUCGGAGCUUAACUCCGAAACUGCAUUCGAUACUGCCGUGCUUGAGGACUGGAGAGGAGACUGGAAUUUACGGUGUAGCGGUGAAAUGCGUAGAUAUCGUAAGGAAGACCAGUGGCGAAGGCGGGUCUCUGGACAGUUCCUGACGCUGAGGCACGAAGGUCAGGGGGAGCAAACGGG
rnacentral:rRNA from 1 species